rnacentral:rRNA from 1 species
ACGUAGUUGGCCGCACCUUCUUCUGCAGGUACCGUCAUUUUCUUCCCUGCUGAAAGCGGUUUACAACCCUAGGGCCGUCUUCCCGCACGCGGCGUUGCUGCAUCAGGCUUUCGCCCAUUGUGCAAGAUUCCUU